UUCUGGAAACCAGAAUUUCUGAUUUGUGGAAAAUUCUAUAGAUAUUCUCUGCCAGACUCCAGCCUAUUUGUGUGAGACAUCUGGGGAGGCUCCCCUUUUUUUCACCAUUUGAGGACUGAAAGUAAAUUUAGCUUCCUCAGCAGAAAGAAAAGAAGCUGUUUUAGAGGUUGGGAAGAACUUUAGAAAAUGCGGCAUCAAGUCUGUUGCCCCCUUUGAAGAAAGCAGCUCUGGAAAAGGCCUAGGACAUUAGUUGCUACAAAGUUCUAGAUCAUUCUGUGUGGUAAAGAAGUGCCUUUCACCUCCCACUGUGAUUCUGAGGCCUCCCCAGCCAUGUGGAACUAUCAGGUCUGUGUUGGUAAAUUAGACACCGUGUGGCCUUUCAACAUCCAGGAGCAAGAUGGCAGGAAGAUCAUGCCAACAACUGAGGUACCUUGCAGGAAAUCAAACAGGAAGAAAUCACCCAAUGGGAUCAGCUGGGCAAACAUGGGUCACCCCAGGUCUGGUCCCUCAAAUCUACCCAACCAAACCAUAUCAUAGUGGAUAGCUAUUAUCUUUACGUGACUAGCAUUCAUUGCCCCUUCUGGUAUGCCCUAUUCCCCACUCUCAAUCCAUCUGUUUUAAGAAUGCCCCCACCUCCACCUUCCAUCUCCAGGAGUGAUAUCCACCCAGGUUUGCUCAGUAAGACUAUGAGACCUGUCUUCCUGGCUGUGGUGAUUGGUUCAGAAGCAACAUGCCAACCAACCUGAUCCAAUGAGAGUGAGUUCUAGGACUUUUGCUGGAACUACUGUAUGUCUAUAUAUAAAAGAGAAUCUAUCUUUCUAUUGAAAGCCAAGGGUAAGCAGCCAAUAUGAUAUGCAUUUGAUUCUGUUACGGAAAUCCACAUAAAAGAAGGCUGCCCAAGUAUAAAACCAACACAGAAGAAAGCAGAGGUAAGAGAUGGAAAAAGAAAUGGAGAGAACCAGUAACAGCAAGAGACUGAAGAACAUCAUUUGAUUGCCUGGAAUCUGCUAAGCCUGAAGAGAAGCCUAACCCUAAGCUUUUCAGUUACCCAAGCCAUCAAAUUCCCAUCCCCAUUUUUUUGGUUCUUAAGCAGCUUGAACCAUAGUUGUCUCACUUGCAUGCAAGAGAUCCCUGAAGAUACAUGCACUUCCUCAGGUGAAGAUUGCCAUCAGUUAACAGAUCCUGGCACCCAUGGACCCUGGGACAGUCAUUCUGGUAGCAUCCUCUGGUAGAGAAUAACAUAGUCAAAUCUGACAGUCAGAGAGGAUCUGCCAGCCUCUGCUUAGAUAUAGCCCACUGAAAGGGAGAGAUGAUUAAUUUAGCCUUGAUUUCAAAACCUUGUCUUGUAUAUUCCAUUCAGCACUUUUUAUCUUCCUGUAUUCCCCUGGUUCCUCUCUAGCUGAAUAAAGAACAAUUUUUAAAGCAAA